AUUGAACGCUGGCUGCAUGCUUUACACAUGCAAGUCGAACGGUAACAGGCCGCAAGGUGCUGACGAGUGGCGAACGGGUGAGUAAUGCAUCGGAACGUGCCCAGUCGUGGGGGAUAACGCAGCGAAAGCUGUGCUAAUACCGCAUACGAUCUAUGGAUGAAAGCGGGGGACCGUAAGGCCUCGCGCGAUUGGAACGGCCGAUGUCAGAUUAGGUAGUUGGUGCGGUAAAGGCUCACCAAGCCAACGAUCUGUAGCUGGUCUGAGAGAACGACCAGCCACACUGGGACUGAGCCACGGACCAGACUCCGACGGGAGGCAGCAUGGGGGAAUUUUGGACAAUGGGCGCAAGCCUGAGCCAGCAAUGCCGCGUGCAGGAAGAAGGCCUUCGGGUUGUAAACUGCUUUUGUACGGAACGAAAAGGUUUGGGUUAAUACCCUGGGCCGAUGACGGUACCGUAAGAAUAAGCACCGGCUAACUACGUGCCAGCCGCCGCUGUAUAC
rnacentral:rRNA from 1 species